ACGAAUAUCGUUCGGAAAAGGGCGGAGUUAGGAGACAGCAAAAAUCUUUCUGUUGCCGGCAUCGAAAGCAACAAGUUCGCAACUUACAGUAUCUGGAUCAAAUUUAGCAAUCCAUGUGAUCUAUUUGCAGAUUCAUUUUCGGAUAUAAUUUUCAACACCCUCCGAAGAAGAAGUGAAAUGAUCGGCUGAAGGUGUCGUUCGUCUCAAAUAGAUUCGAUAAUGGCCUCGAGAAACGAGGAGAUUUAGAAAACUUAACUUUUUUAAAGUGACAUCAGUGGAAGUCUAAUGCGCAUGCGUUGUGGAUGCGAGUGUGUCUUCCGCGAGUAAGAUCUCUUCUUCUUCCCCAUCCCUGGAUCCAAGAGGCAAAACACUCUGACUUGAGGUAGAACUUUGGAACAUUUCGUUCUUUACCAUCUCAGGUGUCAUGCCAGUCGGAAGGUCCCUCCAAUAUUACCUCCUACGGCUGUGGUUUUCGGGGCCUUGCCGAUACCACGAGGACCCCUCGUAAGGCCGUGUUAUAUCUUUAAUAAUCAAAAAUUUAGAGCUUUAUUUAUACAUAUUUAUAUGUUCAUCAAUUUUUUUUGUGGUGUAAACGUUCUUUCUACAAAGUGUCAUAUUUCAUUGUUUCUAUUUUGUGCAGUGUUUAGUUUAAUUUUUGUUUAAAAUUUAUAUUUAUUUUUUAAAAAGAAAUAAUUUUGAGGUAUAGGAAAGUUUUUUUAAAAAAUAUAUUUAUUUUCGAACAGUUCAUCUUUACUCAUUAUCAGAAUUUAAAGCCCUUAUUGCAGCUGUGUUGAGACCUUUAUCAUAAAUGGAUAGUGACCUUUGUGAACAAGUACCCUCUGUACAUUUUACUCUGUGUUCCUAUGUGAUUAACAAACCUUCUCGAAGAACAUAUUCUACGAUUUGGACAACGUUUAUUGGAUAGUCUGUUUACUUUUGCGUAGUUUCUAGUCGUGUGGACUUUUCAACUAACCCAAACAAACGAUUUUCUUAGGAUCUUAGGACAUAAUCCUAGUUUUUUUUUCAACUGCCUCACCUUAGAGCAAUCUUGAUAGGUCAUGCGCCUCCCCUACAUCUACCAAAUCCUCCGGCAUCUUCUGCUGGUCUUCCUUUGCUUGAGUUCCUUGUGGUUGGUCACUCCUUGCCUGGACAUAAGCACAAACAACACCUCAGAGUUGUGUCUGGACGGUAAAAAACAAUCGAAACAGCGUCGUCACAAUGACAACUUUUCGAUGAAAGCUUUGAUGGAUGCAGCCCAAACAAGAGCUUAUUUGUCGCCGGCUGUGUUUCUGGGCACACUGAGGAGUGUCCUUGUGCAGCGAGAUGGAACAAUCCGAGCAUGGUUUGCGAUGGACAAUGCCCUCAAAACGAACACCUCCAAAGGUGGCACUUCCAGUAAGGAGGACACCGAGGUUGUGUAUUACAGAAGUGGAAACGAACUGUGUUUGCUGGAGGUAAAUCAGAACAACUUGAAACUGGGCAGCCAGUAUCUUGUGUUUGGUGUGCCGUCAGCAAAAUAUGCUUGGCCUUCGGUCACUGCCACUGCUUUACCCAUUCCGAACGAUAAACGAAUCUUGCGAGCGGUUAAGAAGGUCAUUUGCAAAGAUUGUGCUAAAGCUCCCAGUAUAUCUGGUCUCCAAAAUGUACGAGAACAAGAAGGGACUAAAAUCCAACUACAUUGUCAUCUCGAAGGCAAUCCUAUACCGUGGGUUGAAUGGUAUAAGAAUGGAGUCGAAAUUGAAAGAAGAGGUCGAAUACGGGUCAAAACAAAAAGAAGGACCUCAAGACUUACAAUUAGAAAAGCUCGUACUUCCGAUAGGGGGACGUACGAGUGUAGAGCUGGAAAUGUAGUUAGUGAAGAUUCCAUAUCUGCCUCAACCACGGUUGUUGUAACAAGAAAGAAAACAACUAAAACAACCACCAAAAAGCCCACAACCACCACCUCAACAACCACCGUGCAACCUACAACAACACAAUCUAGUCCAUGGACGACAGAGCCCUGUCCAACUUCAGAUUUCUGCCUCAAUGGUGGCACAUGUGUAUUUUAUAGAGUAGUCAGAGAAUACGUUUGCCAUUGUGCGGAUGGAUUCGUUGGCCUAAGAUGUGAUUACAAAGAUGUAAGCAUUUCUGUGGGGGAAGUUAGAAAUUACAGUUCACGAGGUGAUAUUCCAUGACCGAUCACGAAGAAAAGUGAUAUGGAUCAAAGCUACGAUCGUCUCUUCAUUGCCAUUUUGGUUCUCUUUCUGAUUUUCUUUUGUUCAAAUUGGGCUUGUGUUGGUAUUUGCUGGUUAUGUUGUUUAAGGUGUCAACGUAAGGAUAAUAACUGGGGAAAAUUC
rnacentral:misc_RNA from 1 species